rnacentral:rRNA from 1 species
CCUACGGGUGGCAGCAGUGGGGGAUAUUGGACAAUGGGGGGAACCCUGAUCCAGCGACGCCGCGUGAGUGAAGAAGUAUCUCGGUAUGUAAAGUUCUUUUCUAAGGGAAGAAGAAAGUGACGGUACCUUAGGAAUAAGCCUCGGCUAACUACGUGCCAGCAGCCGCGGUAAUACGUAGGAGGCAAGCGUUAUCCGGAAUGACUGGGCGUAAAGGGUGCGUAGGUGGUUUGACAAGUUAGUAGCGCAACUCCGGAGCUCAACUUCGGAACUACUACUAAAACUGUUGGACUUGAGUGCAGGAGGGGCAAUCGGAAUUCCUAGUGUAGCGGUGGAAUGCGUAGAUAUUAGGAGGAACACCAGUGGCGAAGGCGGAUUGCUAGACUGUAACUGACACUGAGGCACGAAAGCGUGGGGAGCAAACAGGAUUAGAUACCCUUGUAGUC